CAGGCCUAACACAUGCAAGUCGAACGAGACCUUCGGGUCUAGUGGCGCACGGGUGCGUAACGCGUGGGAAUCUGCCCCUUGGUUCGGAAUAACAGUUGGAAACGACUGCUAAUACCGGAUGACGACGUAAGUCCAAAGAUUUAUCGCCGAGGGAUGAGCCCGCGUAGGAUUAGCUAGUUGGUGUGGUAAAGGCGCACCAAGGCGACGAUCCUUAGCUGGUCUGAGAGGAUGAUCAGCCACACUGGGACUGAGACACGGCCCAGACUCCUACGGGAGGCAGCAGUGGGGAAUAUUGGACAAUGGGCGAAAGCCUGAUCCAGCAAUGCCGCGUGAGUGAUGAAGGCCUUAGGGUUGUAAAGCUCUUUUACCCGGGAUGAUAAUGACAGUACCGGGAGAAUAAGCUCCGGCUAACUCCGUGCCAGCAGCCGCGGUAAU
rnacentral:rRNA from 1 species